GAUGAACGCUGGCGGCGUGCCUAAUACAUGCAAGUCGAGCGAACAGACGAGGAGCUUGCUCCUCUGACGUUAGCGGCGGACGGGUGAGUAACACGUGGAUAACCUACCUAUAAGACUGGGAUAACUUCGGGAAACCGGAGCUAAUACCGGAUAAUAUAUUGAACCGCAUGGUUCAAUAGUGAAAGACGGUUUUGCUGUCACUUAUAGAUGGAUCCGCGCCGCAUUAGGUAGUUGGUAAGGUAACGGCUUACCAAGGCAACGAUGCGUAGCCGACCUGAGAGGGUGGUCGGCCACACUGGAACUGAGACACGGUCCAGACUCCUACGGGAGGCAGCAGUAGGGAAUCUUCCGCAAUGGGCGAAAGCCUGACGGAGCAACGCCGCGUGAGUGAUGAAGGUCUUCGGAUCGUAAAACUCUGUUAUUAGGGAAGAACAAAUGUGUAAGUAACUAUGCACGUCUUGACGGUACCUAAUCAGAAAGCCACGGCUAACUACGUG
rnacentral:rRNA from 1 species